UACGUAGGGUGCAAGCGUUGUCCGGAAUUAUUGAGCGUAAAGAGCUCGUAGGCGGUUUGUCGCGUCUGCUGUGAAAACCCGAGGCUCAACCUCGGGCCUGCAGUGGGUACGGGCAGACUAGAGUGCGGUAGGGGAGAUUGGAAUUCCUGGUGUAGCGGCGAAAUGCGCAGAUAUCAGGAGGAACACCGGUGGCGAAGGCGGGUCUCUGGGCCGUAACUGACGCUGAGGAGCAAAAGCGUGGGGAGCGAACAGG
rnacentral:rRNA from 1 species